AGUGGCAGACGGGUGAGUAACGCGUAAGAAUCUAACUUCAGGACGGGGACAACAGUUGGAAACGACUGCUAAUACCCGAUGUGCCGCAAGGUGAGACCUAAUUGGCCUGGAGAAGAGCUUGCGUCUGAUUAGCUAGUUGGUGGGGUAAAGGCCUACCAAGGCGACGAUCAGUAGCUGGUCUGAGAGGAUGAGCAGCCACACUGGGACUGAGACACGGCCCAGACUCCUACGGGAGGCAGCAGUGGGGAAUUUUCCGCAAUGGGCGAAAGCCUGACGGAGCAACGCCGCGUGAGGGAGGAAGGUCUUUGGAUUGUAAACCUCUUUUCUCAAGGAAGAAGUUCUGACGGUACUUGAGGAAUCAGCCUCGGCUAACUCCGUGCCAGCAGCCGCGGUAAUACGGGGGAGGCAAGCGUUAUCCGGAAUUAUUGGGCGUAAAGCGUCCGCAGGUGGUCAGCCAAGUCUGCCGUCAAAUCAGGUUGCUUAACGACCUAAAGGCGGUGGAAACUGGCAGACUAGAGAGCAGUAGGGGUAGCAGGAAUUCCCAGUGUAGCGGUGAAAUGCGUAGAGAUUGGGAAGAACAUCGGUGGCGAAAGCGUGCUACUGGGCUGUAUCUGACACUCAGGGACGAAAGCUAGGGGAGCGAAAGGGAUUAGAUACCCCUGUAGUCCUAGCCGUAAACGAUGGAUACUAGGCGUGGCUU
rnacentral:rRNA from 1 species